rnacentral:rRNA from 1 species
GAUGAACGCUGGCGGCGUGCCUAAUACAUGCAAGUCGAACGCUGAAGCUUGGUGCUUGCCCCGAGCGGAUGAGUUGCGAACGGGUGAGUAACGCGUAGGUAACCUGCCUCUUAGCGGGGGAUAACUAUUGGAAACGAUAGCUAAUACCGCAUAAAAGUCGAUAUCGCAUGAUAUUGAUUUGAAAGGUGCAAAUGCAUCACUAAGAGAUGGACCUGCGUUGUAUUAGCUAGUUGGUGAGGUAACGGCUCACCAAGGCGACGAUACAUAGCCGACCUGAGAAGGUGAUCGGCCACACUGGGACUGAGACACGGCCCAGACUCCUACGGGAGGCAGCAGUAGGGAAUCUUCGGCAAUGGGGGCAACCCUGACCGAGCAACGCCGCGUGAGUGAAGAAGGUUUUCGGAUCGUAAAGCUCUGUUGUAAGAGAAGAACGAGUGUGAGAGUGGAAAGUUCACACUGUGACGGUAACUUACCAGAAAGGGACGGCUAACUACGUG